UCUUAUGGAUGAGCAAGGAAAAUGGCUUCUUGAGAUAAAAUCCAUUCCUGGUGAAGAUACCGUGAA
rnacentral:pre_miRNA from 1 species